ACACACACACACGUACAGUAACCUUGACGGCAGAGAAGCAUCACGCAAACAGUUAAAAGUUGUUUAAGUGAUGCCGGAUUUUCUAGGCCUUGUGAAAACAGAAAAUCGGCGACAAACAGAAGGCAACACUACACUUUAACGAGUAGGUGCAGGCAGCGCAACCCCAACGCGGCGAAAAAAAAAGAGAAAUAAUAGCAAGCUCAAGGGAAGCAGGAAGCGGCCUCAACAGCAGAGUACGAGUAUAGGCCCCGCGCUGGGGGUCAGUGGCCUCCAGCCAGCCGGGGCUCCACUCACAGGCACCCUAAUGUGCCUCUACACACAUCUGCAAAACACGUGUCCCCGCCCCUCUGCGGCUGGCAGAAAUCAGUUGCUUUAAUUUUUUCAACGAUUUUUAAGUGCCAUUUAUAACGAGAGAACAAAGAGACAUUAGAGUGAUGAUGUAUGACGCCAGGCAGGCGAGACCUACAAGGUCUGGGUACGCGUCCGAAGGCCGGCCAGUGUUAGGACAGGAGCCAACGAUCGAAGGUUUAAAGCAACCUGGUGCUCGCCUGCCAUGCACGAUAUGAAUCAAGCACAGUGGCUCAGUCGUGAGUCGGACACGCCGGAGGACUGAGCUGUAAAGCACGCAAGCAUCAGGGAAAAGCUUAUUGUUUACUGUUUGGCUGUGACCGUCUUGAAAUACUGCCUGUGCCAAGAUCAGCUGGAACUAAAUAUAUAGAAAUGCAAGCACAAGAAGCGCGGAAAUGCACAUGGUGCGCAUCAGGCAGAAGAGAGCGGUGCAAGAGAGGGGGUGGGGGGAGGAGCGUGCAUGCAGACGUCAAGCACAGCUCUUGCUUGCCAGUGCACCUUGGGAGCCAACACGGUCCACAUGACUCUCAUGGCGGUACGAAAACAGACAAAAUUCGUCAUUGUCGAUCAGCGUAAUAGAAAAGGCGAUGAGAUAGUGAAGUUAUCGGUAUCUCAGAUUACUGAUACAGCGGUGCUUGGCUGCUUUAGAGCACGGCAGUGAGUGAUACACAGUGAAUGGAUGCAGGCAGCCAUCGGGCUGGCGUGCCUCACCAUGCAGCAGCGACAAACCAGUGAUUCUGCAGUAGCGCGAAUCGUCUGCGUGGCGUGAGUCCUGCCCCGCCUGGACGAGUGAACUUUCCGCAAAUAUUGAUUAGCACGAGUGAAAAUGGCGGUGUGAAAUAUAUCGCCUCCGUGAGGACGCAAGUGAAGACGAGGGGCCCACGAAGGGUGUCUCCUGCUUCUGACGAAACUGUAAACAAUCUGGAGGUCAAUGCGUCGCCCAGAGCCGCAGGUUGCAGGUAGUGCACUCUGAGGCAGUCUGGCGCAAGCAUGCCUGGGAGGUCCACCAUAUGCUGCCAAGUGUCAUUCAAGUUAUCCUGUCCCGGAGCUGGAAUAUUAUAUAGUAUGUUAAAGUGUAGUGACGAAAUAUGUGUGUCACGAAGUGGUGCUAGUGUAAGAAAAAAAAUAAUAAAGUGAUAAUUCAUACAACCUCUCUUGGUAACAGAGGUAGUGAAGCAAGCCUCGCUAAGCUUGUGUGUGCGUGUGGAAAAAGAAAAAAAAUAAUAAUCGGUCUCUGAAAUGCAAACUGCGCGGUCCCAGUGUUAUCAUCCUCCCCACGCUUGAGGGGUGAGCGAGGGGCAUGACAAGCGACUUUCUCGGUGGGGAGAGAGAGAGAGAGAGAGAGAGAGAGAGAGAGAGAGAGAGAGAGAGAGAGAGAGAGAGAGAGAGAGAGAGAUUAAUUAGCUUGAAAUUUCAACGGAAUAUUAGGAACAGGAAGCACAAGAGCAACAUUACUAGAAAACCGCCAAAGUGUUACCACCAAUCUUUAUUGGAGGGUAUCAUGGAGGCAACACGACGACAGUACCCCUGAUUGACGGAAGGCAGCGGCCGCCUCAGUACUGGAGUACCUCUGGGGCGGCUUGCUGCGUAGUAGCCGCCUCCACCUUCUACGGCUUCAUUUUGUUCUCAAGUCCUUUAAAACGCUUAUAAUGCAAAAUAUUACGUGAAAAAAGAAAUAAGAAAACGAAAUAACAGAAAGUGAUGAAUAUUGUAAAGUGAGUGAUUUGUGAUUAAGAUUUUUUUUUUUUUCGAGGUUUUAUGAGCUUUGGCUUGUGGAACAAAAAUGGAAUGAUGGCCUGUAAAUUUAACCCACAGUGUUGCUACAUAAAAACAAUAAAGAAUAAUAAUUAUCUAAAAUAAAGAUCAAAGUGGUGAAGUGAUCACAUGAGAGUAUUAUGAAAAAAUAUAUAUAUAUGGUAAAUAGUGGUGUUUUCCAUGUUAACGAUUUGUAUCAGCUGUGGCUUGUGGUGCACUUAGCCAUGAAGCCGAGAACAGCGAAGUUGAGGAGGAUUAGUACAUCACCGGUGGAAGGCAGGCUGUACACAUGUAAUAAUUACCACAGCCUGUCUACAACCUGCCAGCCCCUAAGUACAGGCUAACUACUGCGAUACACACACUCGUGGAUUACAGCAAGUACAGCGCACGGAUCGCUACACAACAACAAACACGGAGAGGAAUUUCACCAUCCAGCCAAUGAGGAAGUGCGGCGGCCCAAUGAAUGAAUGAAUGAACCAAACAAGUUUUUGCCAGCACGGGAAGGCAUUUCCUGUGAUAUGAAUGUGCUUAAUGAUAAAUAAAGAUUGUUGGAGUAAGUAUAAUAUGAUCCUUGCCGAAUGACGAUCCCCCGAAUUCAUCCAAAACACAAACACAUACAUAUACACUAGCAAAUUAAUUACCGUUCCAGCUCGUCGCCUAAUGAAGAGUCUGCAACAGAACCGCCCGCCGCCCCUGCGCUGGAAAACUGCCUUCUGACUGCCCAACUAAAAGGCAAUAGUUGUUGCGUCCGCAAUUAUCAUUAUUUUCAUUAUUAUUAUUAUUAUUAUUAUUAUUAUUAUUAUUAUUAUUAUUAUUAUUAUUAUUAUUAUUAUUAUUAUUAUUAUUAUUAUUAUUAUUACUAUUAUUAUUAUGAUUAUAAUUAUUACUAUUAAGAUUACUAUUACUAUCAUUAAUAGCAAUGAACAUUACCAUUAUUAUCAAUAUCACCGAUAUUUCUCACGCUAUCAAUAUCAUUCAUGAAUAUCAUUGGUAUGUUUUAUUUACAUACUUGCAUUUGCCAAUAUCGGAAUACUCAUAAGAAUAAAUUCUUUUGUUGUAUAUUAUAGAUAAAAAAAAAGAUAUUCUAGUAUUUCAGUGGCUUCGAGACAAGAGAUGUUCAACGUCAUCAUUUUAAGGAGCCACAAACUGAUAAGCACAAUCUUGUGACAUUAACAUAAUCACCGCAGGUGCACACAUGUUAUCAUGAAAACUGUGACACGUCAGCCGACAUCACGGUGCUGUCCUGUGUCUUCCUCCGACGAUCGCGACACACGGCAUGGUUUUCUUUCACCUUGAGGACUGAGGUAGUCAUCCUAUAGCUGUGAUGAAAGUGCCAGUGUGUGUCACUCACUGUCUGGGAGAGUAGCAUGAUGUUUUAGUCAUCGUGGCACAAACACUGGGAUGUUGUCCGUGGUUGCCCGUACGUUCACAAAAACACACACGUACACACACACACACACACACACACACACACACACACACACACACACACACACACACACACACACACACACACACACACAGUCGUUUUGCGGAAGCACCAAUAAAGCUGUAGAAUUGGACAAGACCGUGAUAAUCUGAUACAAGCAUUUCGGCAUGUAUAUUUUCCUUAUACGAAGAAGACAGUUGAUGACCAUUUUGUGGAUUGCAGGAAAAAAUGAGAAAGACUUAACAAGAAAAGACACAACAAAGACGCAACAAUGCAAGUGUUCCAACAAUGUUUUGCCUCACAAGAAUAAACAUGAAGAUAACAAGAACUUCAGAAAAAAAGGAAGAGAGGGAGAAAAGAGAAAGAGAGAGAACAGAAAAAAACUGACAUCAAGCAAGAGCAUCCACAUCACUUCGAGCAAGCCCCCAGUAGCUUUCUUCUGUGUCACUAUAGCAUUGUUCGCUUUGAAAGGAUACUCAGAUUGAACAAGAAUAUAUUUGAUUGAAUAAGGAAAAAUAUUCAUUGUGUGUGUGUGUGUGUGUGUGUGUGUGUGUGUGUGUGUGUGUGUGUGUGUGUGUGUGUGUGUGUGUGUGUGUGUGUGUGUGUGUGUGUGUGUGUGUGUGUGUGUGUGCGCUGCAUCUAUAUAGCAUCACUGAAAAAGAUAACAGCGUCACUAGAUUAGGACAGCGUUGACCGUCUCUCGGUUGAAGAAAAGGAAUCUGGUACAGUUAAAUCUACGUACAAUUUUGUUUCAUCAUUAGUGACAAUUUGGAUAUGAUUUAUCUCUAUACAAGAAGCACGCCAACGCAGCUGUGCACCGGGAAUUCAUUGGAAUGUGUUUAAAAAGAAAACUAUUUCGUGUUUGCGUUGUUUUGCUGCGCCGGACGCCUUGCCAACAUGUUUAUGGUUACCUGCAUCAGCUCGCUCAUUGACAUCGCUCAUGCAGGAAGGUAAGUACAGUGCAAACACGUGAGACUGCAGGUAUGACACGCCGACACAUUACUAGCACGGGAUAUCUGACUACUGUUGCUCCUGUCAACAUUUUUUUUAUUUUCUGAAAAAUGUAUUCAUGUGUGUUGUGUUGGGCGUGUGCGCAUAAACAAAAGACACAUUU